ACCCUAUGGGAUGCAGCAGUGGGGAAUUUUGGACAAUGGGCGCAAGCCUGAUCCAGCCAUGCCGCGUGCAGGAUGAAGGCCUUCGGGUUGUAAACUGCUUUUGUACGGAACGAAAAGUCUCUUUCUAAUAAAGAGGAAUCAUGACGGUACCGUAAGAAUAAGCACCGGCUAACUACGUGCCAGCAGCCGCGGUAAUACGUAGGGUGCAAGCGUUAAUCGGAAUUACUGGGCGUAAAGCGUGCGCAGGCGGUGAUGUAAGACAGAUGUGAAAUCCCCGGGCUCAACCUGGGAACUGCAUCUGUGACUGCAUUGCUGGAGUACGGCAGAGGGGGAUGGAAUUCCGCGUGUAGCAGUGAAAUGCGUAGAUAUGCGGAGGAACACCGAUGGCGAAGGCAAUCCCCUGGGCCUGUACUGAC
rnacentral:rRNA from 1 species